rnacentral:rRNA from 1 species
GACGAACGCUGGCGGCGUGCUUAACACAUGCAAGUCGAACGGUGAACGAGGGAGCUUGCUCCCUCCGGAUCAGUGGCGAACGGGUGAGUAACACGUGAGCAAUCUGCCCCGAACUCUGGGAUAAGCGUUGGAAACGACGUCUAAUACCGGAUACGACGCGGGAGGGCAUCCUCUCCGCGUGGAAAGAACUUCGGUUCGGGAUGAGCUCGCGGCCUAUCAGCUUGUUGGUGAGGUAACGGCUCACCAAGGCAACGACGGGUAGCCGGCCUGAGAGGGUGACCGGCCACACUGGGACUGAGACACGGCCCAGACUCCUACGGGAGGCAGCAGUGGGGAAUAUUGCACAAUGGGCGCAAGCCUGAUGCAGCAACGCCGCGUGAGGGACGACGGCCUUCGGGUUGUAAACCUCUUUUAGCAGGGAAGAAGCGAAAGUGACGGUACCUGCAGAAAAAGCACCGGCUAACUACGUG